GGAAGUAGCCGUGAACCAGGAAACCAAUUUGAGACUCAAGAGUAGUCAUUUGAAUCUUUGGAGUUGGAGAUUGAAAAGUGAUUGGAUGGAAUUGGAAAGUUGUUUUGGGAAAUUUCAUCACUAUGUGUAUAUAUUGGAGUCACGUUUUCUUUUGUAUUUUAAGAUGGUUGAAUCUUCUGUUUUGAGUUGAUGUAAUAUUAAGAAUGGAUGUUUAGAACGUGUAUUUUGUUUCUUUUAGUGGACAAAUCUAUGUUUCAA